UCCCAGGUGGCUCAGUGGUAAAGCAUCUGCCUGCCAAUGCAGGAGACAUGGGUUUGACCUCUGUGUUGGGAA
rnacentral:tRNA from 1 species